CCUACGGGUGGCAGCAGUAGGGAAUUUUCGUCAAUGGGCGCAAGCCUGAACGAGCAAUGCCGCGUGAACGAGGAAGGUCUUCGGAUCGUAAAGUUCUGUUGAAGGGGAAAAAGAGCGGAGAGAGGAAAUGAACUCCGAUUGAUAUUACCCUUCGAGGAAGUGACGGCUAACUACGUGCAAGCAGCCGCGGUAAUACGAAGGUGGCGAGCGUUAUCCGGAAUGAUUGGGCGUAAGGGGUUCGUAGGCGGCCUGCUAAGUCUGGAGGGACAGGUACCGGCUCAACCGGUACAGGCGCUGGAAACUGGCGGGCUAGAGAGCAGGAGAGGGCGGUGGAACUCCAGGUGUAGCGGUAAAAUGCGUAGAUAUAUGGAAGAACACCAGUGGCGAAGGCGGCCGCCUGGCCUGUUACUGACGCUGAGGCACGAAAGCGUGGGGAGCAAAUAGGAUUAGAUACCCGAGUAGUC
rnacentral:rRNA from 1 species